AACGAACGCUGGCGGCAUGCCUAAUACAUGCAAGUCGAACGAACACUUCGGUGUUAGUGGCGCACGGGUGCGUAACGCGUGGGAAUCUACCCUUGGGUUCGGAAUAACAGUUAGAAAUGACUGCUAAUACCGGAUGAUGACGUAAGUCCAAAGAUUUAUCGCCCAAGGAUGAGCCCGCGUAGGAUUAGCUUGUUGGUGAGGUAAAAGCUCACCAAGGCGACGAUCCUUAGCUGGUCUGAGAGGAUGAUCAGCCACACUGGGACUGAGACACGGCCCAGACUCCUACGGGAGGCAGCAGUAGGGAAUAUUGGACAAUGGGGGAAACCCUGAUCCAGCAAUGCCGCGUGAGUGAUGAAGGCCUUAGGGUUGUAAAGCUCUUUUACCCGAGAUGAUAAUGACAGUAUCGGGAGAAUAAGCUCCGGCUAACUCCGUGC
rnacentral:rRNA from 1 species